UAAUGCAGUGCUGUGAAAGGAAAAAGGGGAAGAAGGGAGGAAAGGAGGAGGGAGGGAGGGAAAGAAAGAGAAAAAGAGAGGGGAGGGGAGGGGUGAAGGGGAGGGAAAAAGGGAGGAGAAAAGGGAAAGAAGAUCAAGAUAGUGAGGCCACCCUGUUGUGCCACCCAUAUAUAAGUGACUUCCGGUUGGCAGAGAACUCAGCAGCUGGUCUUCUCUCAAACCUGCUGAACCUGGAAAAUGAUGACAGAGGAGCCAGACUCUUCCAGUGGAAUGACAGCUUCUGCAUUGGAGAGGGUGCUCCAGGUGGGGAAGGCAGAAUCACUGCGAGGAGGCACACAUCAUCCACUGUGCCACACAGAGACAGUGACGCUGACAGCUUGCAGAAGGGUCACGCCCAAUGCCAGCUUCCCUGCACCAUCCAGGUGGAUGAGGGUGACGACCAUAAUAGAAGGCGAAGCAGAGUUCCUGCCUGCAGUCUCCUUGUCUACCCAGAAAUUCAGCAUGUGGCACUCAGCAGACUCGCAGCGGUCCAGGUCAGUUCCCACCCUGACUUUGCCGUCUGUGCCCACCUCACUGUGCCCAGGGAGCCACAGUCCACAUUUGCUUCCCGGGCGGCAUCCGUGCCCUUCCUCUCCAGAUGGAAUCAGUGUGCUAGCAAACAGCAUCAAAGUUCAAUUUGUCUUCAUUGAGCGCUGGAUCUCUGUUGCUAUUGGAGAGGGAAGCAGGACUAGAAGAUGACCCACUAGAAUUAUGUAUCUUUAUAUUUUUCUUCAAAUCCUGAAAAGAAAUUCAGAUGGCCUCAACCAGCUCAUGAGCAUCUUCUAUAAAAGUGCUAGCUCUGAGGCUGGCUCUGUUUUCUUUGACAUUGGUUUGGUUAAUCUGGAGUAAUAAAUAACUCAGUGACCAUGCCUCCUGCAAACGUAUUUACCUCCUAGCAUAUUUACUAUCUCUCCCCUUUCAAAAAAAAUUCACUAACAUCUUUCCAGGAUAUUUGGUCAUUUCUAAGGCACUUCAAAAUGACUGAAAUGAACAAAAAGCAUAACACACUCAUUUUUUUUUUUCUGAGUACCUGCUACACUGCCAAAUUUUCUUAGCCAAGAAGCAGUAGAGCCUAUACUGACAUAGUCACUCCGUGACCUGGGACAAAUUAUGGUGGACUCUGAGCCUCAGUGUCUUUAUCUCUAGAAUGGAAAUGUUGAUGAUAAUGAUGAUGAUGAUUGAUGAUGAUGAUGAUGAUGAUAUCUGCCAUAGGGAUUGAGUAAGGUAAUAUGUGUUAUUAUGUAUUGAUUUUUUUUUCCUCUGGAAAAAAAUAUCACUACCUAUUUUGAAGUCCUAGCCCUAAAUAUUGCAGAAUGUGACCUUUUCUGGAAGAAGAAUCAUUACAGAUGUAAUUAAAAAUGAGAUCCUACUGGAAUAGGAGAGGCCGGUCUCCCAGUGUGACUGCUGUCCUUCUAGAAGCCACGUGACAACAGAAGUACGUGGGAAAACACUAUCAGGUGAGGAUGGAGACAGAGGCGGGGCUGCUGGGCUGGCCCAGUGGAGGAGCACCCGGGGCUGUCAAGAAGUAGGAAGGAACAGGAAGGUGCUCCGCAGAGGUUUCUGAGACAGCAUGGCCCUGCCACUAUCUUGCAUUUAGACUUCUAAUCUACAAAACUGUGAGAGAAUAAAUUUCUGCUGCCUUCUGCUGUGACAUCCCUCCUCACAGUGCCCAUGGACUGGG
ensembl:lincRNA